AAAACGGCUCUUUUCAGAGCCACCAAAUUUAACGAUCGACAAACUU
rfam:Helobdella robusta unplaced genomic scaffold HELROscaffold_398, whole genome shotgun sequence.